rnacentral:rRNA from 1 species
AUUGAACGCUGGCGGCAGGCCUAACACAUGCAAGUCGAGCGGAUGAAGGGAGCUUGCUCCUGGAUUCAGCGGCGGACGGGUGAGUAAUGCCUAGGAAUCUGCCUGGUAGUGGGGGAUAACGUCCGGAAACGGGCGCUAAUACCGCAUACGUCCUGAGGGAGAAAGUGGGGGAUCUUCGGACCUCACGCUAUCAGAUGAGCCUAGGUCGGAUUAGCUAGUUGGUGGGGUAAAGGCCUACCAAGGCGACGAUCCGUAACUGGUCUGAGAGGAUGAUCAGUCACAGUGGAACGGAGACCGGGUCCGGCCCCCUCGGGGGGGCGGCAGGGGGGAUUUUUGGACAAGGGGGGAAGUCCGUACCCAGCCUUGCCGGUGGUGUAAAGAGGUUUUUGGAUUGUUAAAGCAUUUUAGGUGGGGAGAAAGGAUAGUAAUUAAAUCCCUGCUUUUUUUGCGUUUACAAAAAAAAAAAACCCCGGCAAACUCCGUC